ACCCAGCUGACGAGUCCCACGUAGGACGAAACUCGUGUCUUGGAU
rfam:Schistosoma haematobium scaffold622_17, whole genome shotgun sequence.